rnacentral:rRNA from 7 species
GAACGACUCUCGGCAACGGAUAUCUCGGCUCUCGCAUCGAUGAAGAACGUAGCGAAAUGCGAUACUUGGUGUGAAUUGCAGAAUCCCGUGAACCAUCGAGUCUUUGAACGCAAGUUGCGCCCGACGCCUUCGGGCCGAGGGCACGUCUGCCUGGGCGUCACGC